ensembl:lncRNA
GAAUUAUAGGAGGUCAUGGUUUUGCAUUGACAGGAAGCCAAAGCCUGUUGCUUUGUAUCGUUAUGCUAAUCUACCUCCAUGAUUACUGUGGCUUGGCUUUUAGUCUUCAAUAGAACAGUGCAGCCAGGGCUUCUGGUGUGGGUUUAUGGGACUGUUAGCCAAAGGUUUUCUAAGCUUGAAUUAGAAUCCUUGAAUAUUUUUUUUUAAAGCCUCUGCAGCCUUCUGAGUUUGAAUCGUGUAGAGCACUGGCACAGGUGCGCUAGCUUUGAAAAGAGAAGAUCAAAUGCAUUCACAACACCUUAUUUAACUAUACAGAAUUGAAAUGGCAAGAAAGAAAUGGUUUCCUGAAUCAAAUAUAAGAACAUAUACAAUUUUAUUUUUACCUGUACUAGUCACUAAGCUCAAUAUGAUUUUUUUCAUUACAACUUGGUCAUCUUCUUGUAAUUUUGGACAUCUGUUCUAUUGGGUAUAUUAAUAACAUUCUCACCAAAGUAAUUGUUUAUCUAUGGCACUGUGAAAUAUCGAUAAAAACUAAUAGGAUUAGAAAACAGUUUUAUCAGAUUAUACAAACCUGUUAAUUUGGAGCACACCGAAAGUUUAGCCAAAAUGUGUAUGAAUCCAUCCCAAGGAUUAUAGUUGGGUAAUCUUUUGCCGUUCUAGUGUACCAUUUUAUAUCAGUUCAAUGGUGUGCAACUUUGGCUAACCCUGCAUUCGUCAUUGUUAUAUGUCCCAUGUUUUGUUCUGUGCCUUUAACUGUGUGAGUGGGGUAGAGUGCUUGUUUCUCGGUUCACAGGUGUGCGGUGCUGGUUGGCUGUUGGCGAGGAGGCGUGGCCGGUGAAGACCCUGGGAGUAAUCGCCUAACGAGCUGGUGACCUAUAUAAACCAGCCUGUUGGUUGCAGAGAGAAAAAAGAAAGGAGAGAGAGGUGUCGUGUUUUGUAUGGCCUGUCAAAGAAUGUUUGUUUUGAAUCCUUACGAUCGUCGUGCUCUACCUGAGUUCUGGAGAAGGGGUAGGUAGUUCUGCCCAUGGGUGUACAUUUGCAUCACGUAGGAAAAUCUUUGUUAGACACACUGUUAGCUGGGCGGGGGGGUCACCCCUGUAGUUUUGGCCAUAGAGAGGUAAGCUGGUUAGGGCUAGACUGUGUUAGGCAGGGAUAGGUGUGUAGAAGACUAGGGACCUUUUUGUUUAUUUCAUUACUUUGACCCCAGUCCCCAAAUCCCCUUCUCCCCCCUUCCUUGGUUGUGUGUGUGUACUUUUUUUGUGUUCUGUCUAAAUUUACUAAAUGUCCCACAAGGACCAAAAGUGAGUUUCGGGUGCCUCUUUAUUUUGGGACAGCUGCACCCCACACUACUUCACCGUCCACCGCUGGUUACAAUGGGUGCGCAAGCACAGGCGUUCACCUUUCCCACCUCCAACUGAGGUGGAAACGUAACAGUCAUUAUGAAACAUUCUGAUCAAUGAAAAGGAAGUAGAAGUCCUCAAAAUUUGAAGUAGGCAUCACAAUGCCCAACCAAACUUGUAUUGCAUCUGAAAUGAGCAGUAUAACAACGUAGUUUACCUAAUAUUGUCUUGCGGGCAGCUCUGUCACGCUAGUGAGUAUGGCGUCUGCACAUAGAGAGAACGAGAGAAAAUGGUAGCAGUAAUGUUAUAACUGUGGCCACAACUGCAGUAUUUGUAGAGUUUUUAUUGGUGAAUAAUUUAACUCCUCAAAAGUGUUUGCUUGCUACCUACCGAUUGCAUGGAAGGGGUCAUCACUGAGGUCAGCAACACCUUCUCCCCAGGCUUACUUAGGGUGAGGUGACUUUAAAGUUGGACUAGCUGUUUUCAUUUUAGUGACAAACCACUCCUUUCAAGUUUUGAUAGAAAGUGAUUAGGUAGUGUGUUUGGCUUUAUAUUGAAUUGGUAUAUUUUUAACACUAGCCGUCUGUUCCAAGAAACGUUCAAUCCUUUUUUUCGAAGGUCAUGGGAGUGCAACUAAGACCCUUACAUAGACACAAUAUGUUGGUUGGUUUUCCCUCCAAUUUUUAUUCAUCUGUAUGAGUGAACUAAAAUAAGAGCGCCCUCAGUCCGCCAGAUCAGCCGUAGAGUCAAUUUCACCAUGGGCAGUCAUCCGAGUUACCUUAACCACAGCUAUGCUGUGUGUAGGUAAAACUAAGCCGAACAUUGACUCAAGUACUUUGUGGAAGCUUUUCUUCAAUGUGAACAAGCCCAUUUGUUCCGUGCCUCUGUUUUCAUGCACUCAGUCAAUUCAUAUACUCCUGCCUACAUAGCAUUUUGGAGUAUUGUUUUUAAAAGCUUAGCACAAAGCAGUGCUACUACUUAUACCAGAAUGUUAUGUGUUUUCUGUUUGAAUUUGAAAAGAAGGUAAAAAAAGCCAGAAGACAUCAAAGACUUUGCUCCUGCGUAAGUAACUAAUAUUUAAUAAACAGUCACCAAGUCACCAAGAGGUAGUCUUCAAACUUACAAAUUGGCCUGUUUCCCAAAUCUUUGACACGGCCACAGAUGAUGUCAUCAUCGUCGCUCCAGGAGGCGGGGCCACUACGAACAUUUCGCUCACUGACCGAACAUUGUUUGAUUAAACACAAUUUAUGUAUGUAUUAUGGUGUUCAUAUUUGAAAUUCUGUCUGAUAAAAAUAUUUUGAUACAUUAUUAAUUGUUUAACUUCUUUCCAUUGAUGCAAAUUCAAUGAUCUGAGAUAUUUCUACGUAAUGGAUCUGCUUUGGAUUUGGGCUAAAUGAGCCACUUUAAAAAUAGGCCCAAAUGAAAUACGGGCGUGGAUCAAGGCUGGGUCCAGUCUGAAUCUUCGACGCAAAACCAUUACGGAUACAGGCCCGCCGGAUGACUACUAUUGCUAUCGAAUUACAGAACGGUCCUCACACAUGCGCGGUCAAUUAGUUUUGUACGGUACCCCCCCCUAUUGUCCGCGCCACCCUGCAUCCCCAAACCUGAAAUGAGUUUGACGCUUUACCCAGCACCGACCACUGCUGUCAACACAGCUCACUGAAUGAAUAAAGACAUCAUUAUAUUUCAGUUCACCCACUCCUAUGCUUUCGCCGUCGACAUCGCUAAUAUUUCCAACCCCUCCACCAACUUCCCGACCCCCAACAACCAGCAGCAGAACAUCAUCUGUUGUGACAUUAUUAAAAACACAAGACCAGGAAUGCAAAUACACAGAGCAGUGUAAUAGAUAGCAUCAUGCGUCAUUGCCCUGCAGAGAGAGCUGUGUGGAGAAAGAGAGACAUAUGAGCCAUGCUGCAGCCUCGGCAGCAUCAUUCAAAUUUGCAUGUUAUCAGAGGCAGAAAGUCUCCAUCAAAAUGUCAAACUGGGCCUGCGGUCUCUCACCACUGAUUUAUAAUAAAGGCAAGUUAGUUUGGCCUUUUCAUGGGAUGUAUACCCGCACUAUAGCAGUUUGCUGUCUGCCUUUUUUCUUUAAAUGUCAAAACUGAAGGCUGCUGGAAGAAUCCAACCUGUGGCGUACAUUUGGUGCUAUUAUGUGUCAGCUACGUUGUGAUGGUUGAGAAAUCACUCACAUUAAAUGGUUCAAGGAUGAUUGGCGUUGCUUGACAGGGUAGUGUUUUGACUUGAAUUGAAGACAAACCCAACAUAAAAACACACACUGACAACCGAUUCAAAGACGCCCUGAGUGACAGCACAAUUAUUCACUUCAUAGAUGAGGACAUGGACAUUUGUAUCGGUUGUUAGACAAGUUGUACCAAAAAUGUGAACACUGUGUCUAGGGUCUGCUUGUUUGGCAGGGAUUGUAGGUAGCCUGUCCUGUGUAUUACUUACUACUAGUAUUGGUAUUAGGCAGAUGUAGCAUAUUUUAAAGAAAAAAAAUCCUUUCUUUAUCCUACUGUACUUAAGGUCCACGUAUGCCCUCUACAUCACUGCUGUUCUGUACCACAGCCAUCAAUGCUGCAUCUCGCUUAUAAAAUGUGAAAACUUGAAAAUCAAAAAUCUAAGCAGGGGCUGAUAUUUAAUAUUAUUUGAACUCGUCAGAUUGUUUGUUGGGGAAAACCUUCCACUCAUCAAGUGUUUAAAAUAUGAACAUUGUUGGUUUCUAAUGGUCUGUUUGAAUUUUAUUUAGUCUAUAAUUUACUAAAUGAGCAUCAUGCUGUUUUGAAAAAGACUUGAAACUGGAGAUUAAAACCACAGUCUCAUAAUUAAAAUGUUAAAGUAGUAGAAAAACGUUCUCAUAGACUCUUAUAUGAUCAGACUUCUUUUUUCUAUGGCCAGUAGCAAUAAUGCAACUUCUAAGAAGCGGAGGUUUUAGCAUGCAUGUAAUUCAAGGUGGCCACACCCUCUACAAUACCAAUGUUUAAGUCUUAAUAUAAUACAAUGUUUGAAAUAUCCUGACCGGAUUGCUGUUGGCGCCAGCCUUGAGUUGCCAUUUCAAGAACUGCAACUUCAUUUUUAGCAGAUCACUGUUGUGAAUUUAGGGAGUUGCAUCCUCCCAGUUAAACUUUUCGUCUUAUUACGCUCAUAACAUUUUGAAACAGGGCCUUUAAUGUUUGGAUCAGUAGCCUGGAAAAAAAGCAUGUAUAUUGGAUCAGAAUAAGUUUCAGCAAAUAUCCCAUCAAGUAGACAUUUCAACGCCCCAGGCUGAAAUAAUUCCCAAUGCAAACUGCUUAGCGUGAGUAUAGCCAUAUUGUUAGUAAGAAGUUUUUCUCAAGGAUUAAUGUAGAAUGUAGAUUUUUUUCAUGUAAUACGUCCAACUGAAUGAGCUGCCUGAGGAUGUUGAAAUAAUAAAAUCAUACUAAUUUGAGUAGAAUAGUGUGGUAUGGGUAGUUAGUAAAGGGAUAAAGAUUUGGAUUUGGGAAAUUUAGCAAAAAAAAAGGUCUGGCAAAAAAAAAGAAUAGGAACCAAGUUGUGUCAUAUCACAUAUUUCUGUGUAUCUGUGCGGCAAGUUAUCUGUAAAGGUAAUAGAGCAAUUAUUUUUCUUCUGAUCUUUUAAACUCCACACUUUGAAGAUUGAAAUUGCAGUUUAUAGGGAUAAAGACUUGAAAUUGAAGCCGCUGAGUAUAAUUUGAGAGAAUCUUUCAAAUGUGUCCAAUGACAUGUAGUAAAUUCUUAUGAUAAUGUUGACAUUUUUUUAAGAGUCAAAUUCAAUUUACAGUAUAAUAUUUUGUUACUUACAUCUUUAAUCACAUGUGUUAAGUUGACUGUUAAACAUGAAGAUGUUGUUAUUUGUUAUUGUAUAAAUAAACAUAAAUUAGUCACAGUGCUUUUUUUGUUGAAAUUUUCUAUACAAAUAAAAUUCCCUUGCCUUGUAAUAGCUGACAUACGCUCCUCCUUCUCAAACCCACCUCCUACUUCUCGCGUCCCACCGACCUCACCUCCUUCGCCCUCACUUUCCUCUUUCACCGCCCUCUCUCCUAACCAAAUUCUUACCCUAGUAACCUCUGCCCGUCCGACCACCUGCCCUCUUGACCCCAUUCCAUCACAUCUUCUACAAUCUAUCGCACCUGACCUUCUUCCGUUCCUCACCUGU